CAAGGAGAGGUGCAGCCAGGCUCCAGCCCUUCCAUCACACAGCUGAAUUGCCUUCACCUGUGCUCCAUGGCUGACUCAGUGCUCGCCUCAGGUGGUCAAUCAGAGGCUCAGGCCCUGAUGCAGCAGUCGCUAUACACUCAGAUUCAAGAGACUUCUUCAAAAAUAAUUGGUUUCCUUGGGAAAAAAAUGUAUCUGAAGGUAUCACUGUAUACAAGUAAAUCUCUUGUCAGAUUCAACAACUCUAGUUGUUCAGUGAAAACGCUUCAGUGAGGAAUCUGAAUGAAAAGGAGUGUGAUAUGAUGCCUUAUUGUUAAACCUUUAAAUAGACUUCCGGUUUUUUAACCUCAUUGAAUCUUUUGCAAUCCAAGAAUGCUUGUGUAAGCUACUGAUACAAAAUAGUUUGCCAUCCAAUAAAAAGAUGCUAAUUAAAUCUA